rnacentral:rRNA from 1 species
GAUGAACGCUGGCGGCGUGCCUAAUACAUGCAAGUCGAACGCGUCACUUCGGUGAUGAGUGGCGAACGGGUGAGUAAUACAUAAGUAACCUAGCCUCUGGAGGGGGAUAACUAUUGGAAACGAUAGCUAAGACCGCAUAGGCAUAGGCAUCGCAUGAUGAAUAUGUUAAAUAUCCCACGGGAUAGCGAGAGGAUGGACUUAUGGCGCAUUAGCUGGUUGGUGAGGUAGAGGCUCACCAAGGCGACGAUGCGUAGCCGACCUGAGAGGGUGGACUGCCACACUGGGACUGAGACACGGCCCAGACUCCUACGGGAGGCAGCAGUAGGGAAUUUUCGGCAAUGGGCGAAAGCCUGACCGAGCAACGCCGCGUGAGGGAGGAAGUACUUCGGUAUGUAAACCUCUGUUAUAAAGGAAGAACGGCAUAUGUAGGGAAUGACAUAUGAGUGACGGUACUUUAUGAGGAAGCCACGGCUAACUACGUGCCAGCCGCCGCAGUAAUAC